rnacentral:lncRNA from 1 species
CACACCACCUGCCCCAUGUUUGGAGCAUUUGCAUUUUUACAUUGAUUGGUUUUGAAAGCUGCUCUCCUGAUCUGUUCUCCAUCCAGUAUUGCAUGCUUGUACCUUAUUCCUCUGAUGUUGCUGCCUCCUUGUCCUUUGUGCACCACCUUUCCCCUGUGAAUGAUCCCCAUGCUCUUGCUUUGGGCACCCUUUGCUUGUUGGAGGUGUAAUUGUGGCAAACCUAGCACCCAAAUAAAUGCUGUUGUUGGCCCUCUGCAGGUGUGAGCACGCUGGGAACUUGAGUUUGGGAGCAGUUUCAGGAACUCCUUGUCUUCUCCAGCCACAGCUGACCUUGGGAGGACUUAAUGAUUCUUAACCUGAGCAAGAGAGCACUGCCUUGGGAUGUACCAUCUUUAUCUUUUACACCCUGUGUGUGGAGCACUGGCCCAGGGGACCUCACCUGCAAGUGCAUCAGAAACUGUGCAAUGGGGGGCUUGAGCAAGACCUGUUGUCUGUUCAGAACAUCACAAGAUUUACCAGCAAGAUGUCCAGUGCCUGAACACAGUGACAAAGCCCAGCCUUAGACAGGACAAGGUUUGCAUCACUUCAGUGCUUCCUCCUGGCUGGUGUGAUGCCUUUGGCUAAGAAGAUGGUGCAGCAGUUUGCAGAAGCUGUCCAGUGUGUCUGUGUCAUUACAGUUCCUGAGAUGAAGUUUCAGAAAUUGCCAAAUCCAGCCUGACACCUGUAUGAAUAACAAGGAUGCCAUCCCCACCAAGAGGAGUGUAAGAACUGUGGCAACCCCUCAGCAGAGGAGCUUGGAGAGAGCAAGGCAGGCAGUGGCAUGGUUAAUCCUGAACCUGUCAUGCCGUAGAAAUCGUCUCUUCUGCCUUAGGCUGCCCUGUUAGACAAACUGCAGCUGGAGGAAGAGCCUGCUUGGCUAAGACAAUGCAGCCACCUGCUGCAAAGUUACCAGAAAGUAACAUCAGAGCUUCACAUUUCUGUAGACUUAGAAGAAGGUCUUCUAAAUGAUGACCAUAAACUCAAUCCUACCAAAAAAAUUACAAAGUAACUUCUUUGGCAUGUGGAAAAGCAUCUGGGGGUUAUCUCCUUCCCCCAGCAUUUGUCGUUGGAGUAGGAUUAUUGCUGCCAUUACUUCUAAUAGUUUCUGAUUGCACUGAGGACGUGCUCCAAGCAUCACUGAAGUCAACAGAAAAAUUUCCUGAGAGCCCAAAUUACAAAUUUAUGUGGUUUUCUCAAUUCAGGAUCAUCCACUGUCUGGCACCAGUGUACCAUGACAGGUCCAGAAUACUUGCUCUUCAGAACAGAAAAAUUAACUUCAACAUGAAACUUGGCACUGACUUCAAAAGGAUUAUCCCAGUCAUCUAUGUUCUGGCAAUCCUUGCUUACAGCACAUAUUUUAACAUAUGUUAAAUUUUAUGCUGAUAGUUUGCAUAUCCUUAUACUAAAUAAAUAUGUACAUUUAUAUACA